rnacentral:snoRNA from 1 species
CAAUGAUGAUACCUAUAGCUGGCACCAGUCCUAGAGACUUGUACUCUUUACCAUGCGGAAUAGCUUUUUGAGAUAUUUCUACCUCUCCGUUCUGAU